AACUGCACUACUAGUAAUUUGAUUAUUGUUCUUACUGUCAGAGUGUCAAUAAAGUAAAAAUAAUUAUUGUAAAGUUGGUUACAAUACUUGGUUUGUUUUUAAUUGUGUUUGUGUGUGUAGGUGUUGAAGCGUAUGACCCCUGAAUGGUUUUAGGAGAAGCUCACCCCAUGGCUGCAUCGGCUGGAGCAACUUUAUAGCUCUGGGUGUAGGGUGGUUAUUCGGGCUCCUAUGGAGAGGAAAGCCGUUGACCCGGUAUUGUCGAUGUCUUCUUUAGAGUCGGAGAAAUCUGGUCAGUAAAAACAUAAUGAUGAGGCGAGUACUCUUGACGAAAGACUUGGAAAAGUUGAUUAUAAGGUUUUUAUUGGUUAUACAAAAAUAGGUGUUAGAGAUUUGAUUCAAAUUGUUGCCUAUCAGGUCCAAGAUGAUGCACUAAAAGAUGCAAAAGCAGUUGUAGCGGGGGUUAAGUCUAUUGUAGCGGGGGUUCAGUCUGUUGGUGAGAAGCAGGCACCCUCCAAGGGACCUAAAAAGGGCGUGGGUAAGGCUGAUGUUGAGGCUAACCUUGAGGCUGGUGCUGACCAAAGUGGGGAGCCAACUGUUGGGGUUGAAGUGCCACGUGUAGAAGAACAACCGCAAACUGAACUAUAUAGUUCAUGGCAUUAACUAUGCAGACUUGAACUAGGGAGUAGGAGAUGUUGAUUUCAGUGUGGUUUUUGGUGGGAAUGGUACGGGUAAAGUUGGUGGUUUAGAGGAUGACCUUAGUAUUGGUAAUGGGGGUGCAGUAGUCCAAGACACGGGGGAAGUUCCAACAAAAGGAGGAAAGAGGAAAAGUGAUCGUAGUGUUGGAAAACGACCUUGCAGACCCUCUAAAAAGGGAUUGCAAAUUGCCAAAAAGGGCGAAGUGCUGACGAAGGAGGAUCGAAGAAUCAUUACUUAUGUCCUUUCUUGGACUCCGAAAAUGGAAAGCAGGUAUAUAUGGAAUUUUGCCAUGGUGUUAUAUGUUGCAGCAAUCGUGCCGGGACGCAGUACGUCAGGGCUGCUACUAAGAUGUACACGAAAGAGUGGUAUUUGUCUCCGUUCUCAUGGAAGAACACUGGUGGUGUGUUGUGUUUCAUUUGAAGGAUGAGAAGAUAUGGCUCAUAGAUUCCAUUAACCCAGAACCAGCUUUCACCCACGAUGAUGCCCUAGAUGAGUUGAGGGCCAGAAUGGACAAGAUUUUUAAGCACUAUGACGAGACAUGGGAAGAGGGACCUAUCUUGACAUAGCCGACAGAAGCCGUGGACAAUAAAGAACCGACUGAUGACAUUUGUUGUGGCCCUUUGAUGCUAGCUUGCAUUAAGAACUCUGUUGAUCGGUUUCAGACCAAGUUCCGUUGGAUAUGCCACCUACGUUUGGUUUUGCAGUUAGUUUGACUAAUUUCCUUAUUAUGGGUACUAAAAUGAAUUUUGGCUGAACUAUUAUACAGGAGACGGUUGAGAUUGGUAGAGCGCGAGUUUUGUUGGGUGACCUACUAUGCUCGUUCAAUGAACGUCGAGCUGAGGUUCACAAGUUAGUGGAGGCUUGGGAUAAAGAGAAAAAAGGAAGGGAAGGGAAAUGAUUUGAAUGUAUCUCAAUACAGUGUAGUCUGUAAUUAUUUUUGUGGUUGAAAAAUAUGUGUACUGUGAUGAUGCUAGUAGGUGAUGAUGGUAUUAGGGGAUGGUAGUUUAUGUUUGGACACUACAUUUUUCCAUGUGUUGGGUGAUGGUAAUAUUUCAGAUCAUGCUGGUACACCAUGAUAUGGUUUGAUGA